rnacentral:rRNA from 1 species
GUAUAGACCCGAAACCCGGUGAUCUAGCCAUGGGCAGGUUGAAGGUUGGGUAACACUAACUGGAGGACCGAACCGACUAAUGUUGAAAAAUUAGCGGAUGACUUGUGGCUGGGGGUGAAAGGCCAAUCAAACCGGGAGAUAGCUGGUUCUCCCCGAAAGCUAUUUAGGUAGCGCCUCGUGAAUUCAUCUCCGGGGGUAGAGCACUGUUUCGGCAAGGGGGUCAUCCCGACUUACCAACCCGAUGCAAACUGCGAAUACCGGAGAAUGUUAUCACGGGAGACACACGGCGGGUGCUAACGUCCGUCGUGAAGAGGGAAACAACCCAGACCGCCAGCUAAGGUCCCAAAGUCAUGGUUAAGUGGGAAACGAUGUGGGAAGGCCCAGACAGCCAGGAUGUUGGCUUAGAAGCAGCCAUCAUUUAAAGAAAGCGUAAUAGCUCACUGGUCGAGUCGGCCUGCGCGGAAGAUGUAACGGGGCUAAACCAUG